UUGCAGGUCAGUGUUCAGGCCUUCUAUGACGAUUGUCUUGAAUCUUUGUAUGUCAUAGUUUGUGCACUUUUUAAUUCUCUUUUCAAUUUGAUUUACACGUUUACCAUGGGUACAUCUGUACUCUGUGUAUUUGUGAGACCAUGGGUACAUAUGUAUUAUGUGUAUUUGUGCGUGUGUGCUUAUGUCAAUGUAUAUACUCAGUUUCAUCAUGAAAUUUUAACCAGGUUCUAUAACUCUUGUAAGUCCAUUGAAAAGAAAAAUAUGAUUUGUUCCCUGUAUGUUUCAUUCCAUCUUUUUUGUGUGAACAAAUUUUUUAUUAUUUUUUUUAUUCUUAUUUCCCUGUCUUUAUUUUAUUUGUUCUAAUUCUGUUAUGAGCACUCCCAUGUCUGUCUUAUGAAGUGAAAAUUGUUUUAACUGAACAUUUUUGACACAGUUGUGUCCCCUGAUACACUUCAUGAUAUUAUCUAGAAAAUCAAAUUGCAAUAUUUCUUUCUUUACUUUAAUACUGUCAUUAUCAGAACUAGUUAUUUUUAUUUUUACUUAUUCAAAUAGUUAAAAUAAUUUUUCUCUAUUGUGUUUAACAUUUGGCUAAAGAGAGAAAUAAAUGUUUCCAGUUUUUUCACUUUUCUUUGCCAGAAAAAUAGAAACAUUUUGAUUUGCUAUUUUGAUGUCAGUUUGAAUAAAUGUUUUUGUUGUUAUUCUAGUGAACAUGUUCAUUCCAAAGUCCUGUUUUGUUUUAGUGCAAUAAUGUUUUCAGCCCAUUGUACUUAUUUUUAUAUUGAAUGUACAAAGUAGAACUUAUCCAUUGAAUCAUUGAGAAAUAAAUUCUAGUGUUCUUGUAAGGUGUCAAUAAAAAAUUUUUUUUAUUCCAUUUGAAUUUCAUUAAUAAAAAUAUAAUAAAUGUUACAAA